rnacentral:lncRNA from 1 species
GCACACAUCUACCACAGCAUUCAUCACCAAUCAUUAAAAUUGCUAAAAAUAUUAUCACUCACUAUCCCGAAUAUUGUUAUUCUCUCUCUCUAAAAAGAUUCAAUGCAGAAGAGGCAUGGGUUAUGCAAAAAUAUGCGAGGAAAUAAAAAGGGGCAAGUGCCCGGAACCUCGAAAAAGAAAGAAAAAGAGUGAGACGAGAGGUAAAAAUGGACAAGUGUCCGAAGUAGAAUUAGGGGUACAAAAAUGCCCACUUGAGCGGAAAAAAUGGACAAGUG